UCAGCAUCAGAGCAUCCACAGGUGCGCCCCC
rnacentral:piRNA from 1 species